rnacentral:rRNA from 1 species
GAUGAACGCUAGCGGCAGGCUUAACACAUGCAAGUCGAGGGGUAGAAGGAGCUUGCUCCUUUGAGACCGGCGCACGGGUGCGUAACGCGUAUGCAAUCUACCUUUUGCAGAGGGAUAGCCCAGAGAAAUUUGGAUUAAUACCUCAUAGUAUGUGAGGAUGGCAUCAUUUUCACAUUAAAGUCACAACGGCAAAAGAUGAGCAUGCGUCCCAUUAGCUAGUUGGUAAGGUAACGGCUUACCAAGGCUACGAUGGGUAGGGGUCCUGAGAGGGAGAUCCCCCACACUGGUACUGAGACACGGACCAGACUCCUACGGGAGGCAGCAGUGAGGAAUAUUGGACAAUGGGCGCAAGCCUGAUCCAGCCAUGCCGCGUGCAGGAUGACGGUCCUAUGGAUUGUAAACUGCUUUUUGUACAGGAAGAAACACUACUUCGUGAAGUAGCUUGACGGUACUGUAAGAAUAAAGGAUCGGCUAACUCCGUG